UACGAAGGGGGCUAGCGUUGCUCGGAAUCACUGGGCGUAAAGCGCACGUAGGCGGCUUUCUAAGUCAGGGGUGAAAUCCUGGAGCUCAACUCCAGAACUGCCUUUGAUACUGGGGAGCUCGAGUCCGGAAGAGGUGAGUGGAACUCCGAGUGUAGAGGUGAAAUUCGUAGAUAUUCGGAAGAACACCAGUGGCGAAGGCGGCUCACUGGUCCGGUACUGACGCUCAUGCACGAAAGCGUGGGGAGCAAACAGG
rnacentral:rRNA from 1 species